ACUGGAGACUCUCAGUCUUUCAGGCUGUCUGAUCUAAGAGGAAGGCUGUUCUUCUCUGGUCUCAGCUCUGAGCUCCAACCCCUCCCAUCUGAGAGAGCUGGACCUGAGCUACAAUCAUCCAGGAGACUCAGGAGUGAAGCUGCUGUCAGCGGGACUGAAGGAUCCUCUCUGGAGACUGGACACUCUCAGGGUGGAGCCUGCUGGAGUCAGAUGG